rnacentral:lncRNA from 1 species
UAUAAGCUUACUGAAUAAGUUGCAAAUCAGGACUUAGAAUAUUUCUACCCCACCCCAUUUCUCCCAGUCUCCCAUGUCUCCCUUGUUCCAGUCCCCUGCCAGGCAAGAAUCCCCCACUGCCUCCAAGAUAAAACCCCUCUCCCCAACCCUCUCAGCCUAGGUCAUUGUUGCCUGUCCUUGAACUUCGGGUAAAUGGAGAGUACUUUGGCUCAGAUUUUUUUCCGUGAGAUCUGUCCAGUGUGCACAGCUGUGACUUGUUCUCUUACUUGCUUUGUAGGUAUACAGUUUUUCUUUUCUUUCUUUUUUUCCCCCCUUACCUGAGGCUUCAGUUCCCUUCCAAGUUUAGUGUAAGCCAAGAAUAAUCAAACCACUGCAUCUGGAUCAGAGACAAAUGACUUCCCAGAUUGGCCAGUUUUGUAGGGAACUUCAAUUGAAAUUCAAACAGUCAUCCACCGCUUCUCAAACCGGUUUCCCUACAUAAUGAGGAGCCCGAGGGUGACUACAGGAGGAAAGGUUAAACUGAAAAACUUGAAGGGUCCACUUUUAAAGAUAAGCAUACAAGAAUUCCUAAGAAGUGCAUAAAAGUUUGAGGCAGGUUUUAGUGGGAAAAAUCAGUCUGACUGCAGAAUCCACUUUAAUUCAAGCCCAUUUCCUGCAAUCUUUUCCAUUCCCUUUUUUCUUCUGAAGGAGAAGCAGAACAGUAGAGAUAUGCACCUAAUCCUCCACAGUCAUGGAGCAUCAUCCUUGUAAUCCAGAGUUGGUGGACAUAAAAACUACAAGGUAGCUUGUCAGAAAUACCCAUCCCCAAGCCUAUCCUGAGCAAAUAGGACUUGGGGAACAGGGCAAGGUAUACUAUUUAACAGCGACCAGGAAAUAUUCCUUAUUAAAGGUUGAGAUCUGCUGUUCUUGAGAAAGGCACAGUUUGGCAUGUAUUUCUAGUGGAUCUUGGAGGGCAAAUCUAAAAAUGAAUAGUAUAUUACCCAGCUCC